ACCGCGGUAGCUCAAAUGGUAGAGCAUCUGCGCGGUACGCGGAGCGUCGCCGAUUCGACUCCGGCUCGCGGCU
rnacentral:tRNA from 1 species